rnacentral:rRNA from 1 species
AAACGAACUUGGAGAUAGCUGGUUCUCUCCGAAAUAGCUUUAGGGCUAGCCUCGCAAAGAGGAUGCUGGAGGUAGAGCUCUGUUUGGACUAGGGGCCCGUCAAGGGUUACUGAAUUCAGAUAAACUGCGAAUUCCAGACAUUUAUGUGCGGGAGUCAGACUGCGAGUGAUAAGAUCCGUAGUCGAAAGGGAAACAGCCCAGAUCACCAGUUAAGGUCCCAAAAUUCAUGCUAAGUGGAAAAGGAUGUGGAGUUGCGCAGACAACUAGGACGUUGGCUCAGAAGCAGCCAUCAUUCAAAGAGUGCGUAAUAGCUCACUAGUCGAGUGACGCCGCGCCGAAAAUUUACCGGGGCUAAGCAUGAUACCGAAACUGUGGAUGUGCGAAUGCCGGUAUGAGUAACGAAAGACAGGUGAGAAUCCUGUCCGCCGCAAGACUAAGGUUUCCUGGGGCAGGCUCGUCCGCCCAGGGUAAGUCGGGACCUAAGGCGAGGCCGAGAGGCGUAGUCGAUGGACAACAGGUUGAAAUUCCUGUACUGCACCGAAUCGUUAUGAGCGAUGGAGGGACGCAGGAGGCUAGCAGCGCGUGGUGCUGGAUACCACGUUCAAGCGUCAAGUCUGAGAGUGAGUCAAAUGCUUGCU